UCUUGACUCGCUCCUUCUUACUGCAUUGCCAUUCUGCUUCUCAUUUCUAUUCCCCCCAGGUGCUCGAGUUUCUCUGGUCUUUUUUUGCUGUUUAUGCCGAUGGCAGAUUGGCUUCACUUUCGUCUCCAUUCUCCAAUUUCUUUGCUUCCUUAACAGUUGAACUUUCUCCCAUUCUGAGGUAACUCUCUUCAUUUCUGUGCCCCCGUCUCUCAAGUCCCUUUGAGAUCUUUCAUGCUGCUUCAGUUUGAUUGCGGUGAUUUCUUGAUGUUUAUGGCAAUGGCAGAUUGGCUUCACUUGUGUUUCCAUUCUCCAAUUUCUUUGGUUCUAAACACUUAGAUUUGAUGCCAUUUUGGGGUAAAUUGAUAUUUCUUUAUAACAUUUUUAUUAAAUUUCAAAUAUCAAAUUUAGUUUAGUUUAUAUAUGCUCUAUGCUUAUUUAUGACAGAUGAUGCUUUCAUGAGAUCAAUUACUUAUUGGAGACUUAA